rnacentral:rRNA from 1 species
UAGUAUGGGGAUCUGCCCGAUAGAGGGGGGUAACUACUGGAAACGGUGGCUAAUACCGCAUAAUGUCUACGGACCAAAGCAGGGGCUCUUCGGACCUUGCACUAUCGGAUGAACCCAUAUGGGAUUAGCUAGUAGGUGGGGUAAAGGCUCACCUAGGCGACGAUCUCUAGCUGGUCUGAGAGGAUGAUCAGCCACACUGGGACUGAGACACAGCCCAG